rnacentral:rRNA from 1 species
CCUACGGGGGGCAGCAGUGAGGAAUAUUGGUCAAUGGCCGGGAGGCUGAACCAGCCAAGUCGCGUGAGGGAAGACGGCCCUACGGGUUGUAAACCUCUUUUGUCAGGGAGCAAGGUGCAGGUCGGGACCUGCUGUGAGAGUACCUGAAGAAAAAGCAUCGGCUAACUCCGUGCCAGCAGCCGCGGUAAUACGGAGGAUGCGAGCGUUAUCCGGAUUUAUUGGGUUUAAAGGGUGCGCAGGCGGAGGCACAAGUCAGCGGUAAAAUCGCGGGGCUCAACCCCGGCGAGCCGUUGAAACUGGCGGGG